UACGUAGGGCGCAAGCGUUGUCCGGAAUUAUUGGGCGUAAAGAGCUCGUAGGUGGUUUGUUACGUCUGCUGUGAAAACCUAGGGCUUAACCCUGGGCCUGCAGUGGAUACGGGCAGACUAGAGGUAGGUAGGGGAGAAUGGAAUUCCGGUGUAGCGGUGAAAUGCGCAGAUAUCGGGAGGAACACCGGUGGCGAAGGCGGUCUACUGGGCCUUACCUGACACUGAGGAGCGAAAG
rnacentral:rRNA from 1 species